rnacentral:rRNA from 1 species
ACAGCAGCAGCCGCGGGAAAACGGAGGGGGCUAGCGUUGUUCGGAAUUACUGGGCGUAAAGCGCACGUAGGCGGCUUGGUAAGUUAGAGGUGAAAGCCUGGAGCUCAACUCCAGAAUUGCCUUUAAGACUGCCGAGCUAGCAGGUGAGAGAGGUAAGUGGGAUUCCGAGUGUAGAGGUGAAAUUCGUAGAUAUUCGGAAGAACACCAGUGGCGAAGGCGGCUUACUGGCUCAUACUGGACGCUGAGGUGCGAAAGCGUGGGGAGCAAACAGGAUUAGAUACCCCAGUAGUCCCUGUCUCUUAUAC